UGAUCAUCAAGUAUGGGAUAGACAGGCACAGGGUGGUGAGGAAAAGUGACAGUAAAAAUAAAAGAUCAAAGGGUCUUAGAAUCUUUACCAGAUACAAAAAUAAUAACUUCACAAUGGAAAUGUGGACUUAUGAACAUCUAUGAACACAGUGAAAAUGGAUGAAGAUUUAAAUGAAACUUCCUCAGUUAUGUAAUCCAAACUACAAAAAUCGAAGUCAAGGGAGAUGGAUGCCAGGUGUUAGCCUAAGAGCUGGCAUAUAUUUUUUGGAGUGCUGUGAGGUGUAUUGCAAGUCUUGCCAUUAUUUGUUUACAUUUUUCAAAAAGCUAAAAGUCGAAAUAGCCAAAAUAACUCAGACUAUUUCAAAAGCUCAUUAUUUGCAUAGUGUACUCAUUUGAGCAAGAGGAAAGUCUGACUGCUAAGAGCUGCUAGGAAAGGAUAAAAGUGAACUGUAUGUGUAAAGAAGGGAAUGAGAAAGUUGCACACAGGUAAUAGGCUCUUUAUCAGCCAGUGCUGCCAUCCCUAGUUGCUGGGAAUAUAGGCUGAUAUAUAACAAUAUCCCCUUUCCUAGACAAUUUUCUGAUCAACCAGGAGCUGCCUUUCCUCAGGGGCUAUGCAACCACCUCUUGGAGUUCAGAAUUUAGAUGAUGACUAACUGAUAUCAAGGUUUAAAGGCUGCUUGUGUCAAAGUGAGAUUGAUUCAGUGGUGCAAUGUGUACUCUAGAGUUUUCACCAUGAGACCAGACGUAAAGAAGCCUCUGAGACCAGAUUCUUGUGCAUGUUUUUCGUCUUGCCUAUCCUGCAUUCCUCAACUCUCCUGAAGGCUUUCCCUCAUUCUGUCACUUGAACAAGAAUCCCCUCCCAGGCUCUGCUUCCAAGGCUACAAGGAUUCAAUCUGCUUUCCUUUAUUUUGGAAGUUGUUUACACCCACUCUACUUUCUGGGUUUAUUUCCUAGCAAGACUGCCUGCAGAGAAAUUAUUGCAGACCAAUUUAUCCAGGCAACAGUUUGCCCAUCUGCGCAAACAGUUCUCUUAUUGGACAACAUCAUUUUCGCUUGGGCAAACAGCUCAAUUUUCAGGCAACUGUUUUCUCACAAAGAGCCUUAUGUCUGUCUCAAACUAUUGUGUCAUGAAUGUUGCCCAAUCUUGACAACCUUCACACCUUAAAAAACAAACCUCAAACCAUUUAAGUACAGUCCCCUAAACCCUAUUAAUACCCUUCUGUUGUCUCCUCUUGAGACUGAUAAAACCCUGUUAAUGUGGUUUUCUCCCUUAUUGCAGUAUGUUUAAUAAAUUCUGCUUUGCCAAACAACAGGUUUAUCUGGUGGAUGUUAUAAAGGAGUCAACAAUCACCAGGUCCAAACACAAUCUUUGACACCUAACAGAAGCUCAAUUAAAUUUUUUUUCAUUAAGUAACUAGGCAGAAACUCAGGUAGGGUAUUAUAUGAGAUAAAUAUGGGGGAAAGGGAGAACAAGGUAUUAGUCACAAGGAAAAAGAAAACU
rnacentral:lncRNA from 1 species